GAGUUGCGAACGGGUGAGUAACGCGUAGGUAACCUGCCUGGUAGCGGGGGAUAACUAUUGGAAACGAUAGCUAAUACCGCAUAAUAUUGACGAUUGCAUGAUAGUCAGUUGAAAGGUGCAACUGCACCACUACCAGAUGGACCUGCGUUGUAUUAGCUAGUUGGUGGGGUAACGGCUCACCAAGGCGACGAUACAUAGCCGACCUGAGAGGGUGAUCGGCCACACUGGGACUGAGACACGGCCCAGACUCC
rnacentral:rRNA from 1 species